rnacentral:rRNA from 1 species
GACGAACGCUGGCGGCGUGCCUAAUACAUGCAAGUUGAGCGAUGAAGAUUGGUGCUUGCACCAAUUUGAAGAGCAGCGAGCGGGUGAGUAACGCGUGGGGAAUCUGCCUUUGAGCGGGGGACAACAUUUGGAAACGAAUGCUAAUACCGCAUAACAACUUUAAACAUAAGUUUUAAGUUUGAAAGAUGCAAUUGCAUCACUCAAAGAUGAUCCCGCGUUGUAUUAGCUAGUUGGUGAGGUAAAGGCUCACCAAGGCGAUGAUACAUAGCCGACCUGAGAGGGUGAUCGGCCACCUUGGGACUGAGACCCGGCCCCAACUCCUCCGGGAGGCAGCAGUAGGGAAUCUUCGGCAAUGGACGAAAGUCUGACCGAGCAACGCCGCGUGAGUGAAGAAGGUUUUCGGAUCGUAAAACUCUGUUGGUAGGGAAGAACGUUGGUGAGAGUGGAAAGCUCAUCAAGUGACGGUAACUACCCGGAAAGGGACGGCUAACUACGUG